rnacentral:rRNA from 1 species
UCGAGGAUCUUUCGCAAUGGGCGCAAGCCUGACGAAGCGACGCUGUGUGGACGAUGAAGGCCUUCGGGUUGUAAAGUCCUUUCGCGUAGGAACAAGAGAGGUUAACAAAUAAUUAGCCGAUUUGAGGGUACUACGUAAAGAAGCACCGGCUAACUCCGUGCCAGCAGCUGCGGUAAUACGGAGGGUGCAAGCAUUAAUCGGAUUUACUGGGCGUAAAGGGCGCGUAGGCGGGUUUAUAAGUCAAAUGUGAAAUUCCGGAGCUCAACUUCGGAGCUGCAUUUGAAACUAUAAGUCUAUAGAGGGAUGACGGAGAAAAUGGAAUUCCACGUGUAGCGGUGAAAUGCGUAGAUAUGUGGAAGAACACCAGUGGCGAAAGCGGUUUUCUAGUUAUUACCUGACG